rnacentral:rRNA from 1 species
AUUGAACGCUGGCGGCAGGCCUAACACAUGCAAGUCGAGCGGCGCGGGGGACGGGUGAGUAAUGCCUAGGAAUCUGCCUGUUAGUGGGCGACAACUUCCGGGAACGGGCGCUAUUCACGCAUACUAUCAGAUCAGCCUAGGUCGGAUUAGCUAGUUGGUCGGGUAAAGGCUUACCAAGGCGACGAUCCGUAACUGGUCUGAGAGGAUGAUCGGUCACACUGGAACUGAGACACGGUACAGACUCCUACGGGAGGCAGCAGUGGGGAAUAUUGGGCAAUGGGCGAAAGCCUGAUCCAGCCAUGCCGCGUGGGUGAAGAAGGUCUUCGGAGUGUAAAGCACUGUAAGUUGGGAGGCGUUACCAAAAGAAUAAGCACCGGCUAACUUCGUGCCAGCAGCCGCGGUAAUUC